AGGCCAAGGGGAGAAGGACAUUGACAGGCGGCCCCCACUCAGGGGCGGCAGCAGGGCAAGGCGCCGACUGCUCAGAAAAGGAUCAGAAGCAGUUUCUCCCCCACCCCCUCCCCUUCCUCAUCCUGCAGCCCGUGCCUCCCCCCUCUUCCGCGCUGCGCACGGAUGGCGGCCGGAGCCGCAGAGAAAUGGGAUCAUACUAUAAAUCUUGUGUAAAUCAGUGUAUCACUGAUGCCAGACCAGCAGCCUGACUAUCACCUGGAGUUUGUCAGAAAUGCAGACUCUCAGGAUUCACUCAUAACCCGCUGAAUCACAACCUGCAUCUAACAAGAAUCAAGAGCCCUGGGAGACUGCUGUGCAAAUCAAAGUUGGAGAAGUUCUAAUAUAUAUUAUUACACGCAACUUGGUUUUUUAGCAACGGUGUGUCUUUGACAUCUUUCAGUGUAAGAACCAACAGAUUGAUCACAUUCCUUGUUCAUGGCUGCAUAGUUUCCUACUGUUUGGCAGUGCUCUGGCUUUGUUCCCUGGUCCACUAAAGAUGACUGUGCUGAUCUUGAAGAAUGAAUGGAUAAAAUGUCACUAGGGGUUGUGGAGAAAGAUUGAUGUUCUGGGUGGAGGAAUCAGCAUAAGCAAAGGUACAGAAUCAGAAAGAAAAUGAACAUGAAAUGUACCCUGGCCUUAUUCCCACAAGGCUUGGUGAGAACCAAAGGAGGGUUACUGCAGAUGGUUCUCCCAGAUGAUGAGAAUUAAACGAGUGUUAGAAAUGGCUUUGACCCUCUACUUCGAGCACCAACGAGGGAGAAUUCUCUCUGGAGCUCCUGAAGUUGUAACUAUCACCUAUGCUGGUGGAUCAGCAGCGGGAACACUCACUGGGCAUACCCCCACCCCUGGGCCAGUUACUGUGCUGAGAUGCAACUCUCAGAAGGGAGAAAUUCUUAUUAGCUCCCUUGACAGAUGAGGCAACUGAAGCACUAAGAGCAAUGUGCGUGAGGUCACGAAGCCAGGAAGUGAUGGAGUGAAGAUGGAAAUGGAGGUUAGUGAGACUCAGAGCUUCCAUGUUUAUAUCCUAUACUGCACCAGCUUUUGUAAUCUAUAUAUUUUUAAUGCAUAUGAAAUAAAACACUAGUCCCUUCUGAUAGGGUUUCUGUUGGCCAUACAGCAAGUGCUUAAUAAAUACUGAUUGUAUUGAA